CAAUGGAAAAACAUGUCGCACAACUCCAAAUACUACGUAAAAAAGAUUCCUAAGAAACAAACUGGCACAACGAAAACGGCACCAGGUCAGACAUCUUGGUUCGGAUUCUAGUUUCAGGAUUGGAAACGAAAUCCUCAGCUGGAUCUGUAUCAGGAAUUCCAAGCGGAUCUGGUUCUUAGGCAGAGUUUUCCUGCGAUGAACUACAUGGUUGGAUUAGGCCGCAUCAUUCCAAGUAGUACUGCCAGUGUAGAGAGGAUCUUCAGUACCAUGAACUCCCUGUGCACAUCCUCACGCAGCAGAAUGAGUCAGUCGCUGUUGGACUCCCUCAUGAGAAUCUGCACCCAUGAGACGGAUUCUCUUGAUCCUGAUCAAUUGAACUCAAUGGUUGAUAAGUUCAGGGCCAUGAAAACAAGAGAAAUUAGUUUGUGACUGGAAAACUGUUGAUCAUGAUGGUGUUGUUAGUUAUUAAAGAUGUUGAACUCUUUCAUGUAGUUUUAAAUCCCAAUUUAUUUUCCCAAUUUCUUGAAAAUGCCGAUAAAAUUCCCAAUUCCAAAGCCAUGGGCUAUCUUCCCAAAAAGGGGAAAAAAA